rnacentral:rRNA from 1 species
UACGUAGGGUGCGAGCGUUAAUCGGAAUUACUGGGCGUAAAGCGUGCGCAGGCGGUUCGUUAUGUCCGAUGUGAAAGCCCCGAGCUCAACUUGGGAAUGGCAUUGGAAACUGGCGGGCUGGAGUGUGGCAGAGGAGGGUGGAAUUCCACGUGUAGCAGUGAAAUGCGUAGAGAUGUGGAGGAACACCGAUGGCGAAGGCAGCCCCCUGGGCCAACACUGACGCUCAGGCACGAAAGCGUGGGGAGCAAACAGGG